UGCCAGCAGCCGCGGUAAUACGGAGGGUGCAAGCGUUAAUCGGAAUUACUGGGCGUAAAGCGCGCGUAGGCGGAAUGUUAAGUCUCAUGUGAAAGCCCUGGGCUCAACCUGGGAACUGCAUGGGAUACUGGCAGUCUUGAGUAUGGGAGAGGAAAGUGGAAUUCCGAGUGUAGGAGUGAAGUCCGUAGAUAUUCGGAGGAACACCAGUGGCGAAGGCGGCUUUCUGGACCAAUACUGACGCUGAGAUGCGAAAGCGUGGGGAGCGAACAGGAUUAGAUA
rnacentral:rRNA from 1 species